AAAGUUUAUUUCCUCAUAACCAACCCACCCAACCAGAUAAUCAUAACUCUUGUUUGCAGUUAGAGAACAGAGUUUAACUAGACACUGUGGACAUUGUGAAAGUGAUAAUUACAUAUUUGCACACUUAAUUCAACCUUCCCCAUUGAUGGCUCAGGCAUAGAUUAAACAACUUCAUUUUAGAAACGUUGAAAACACCAAAAAUCUACCCAAUACCAACAGUCCAUUGAUCUCUAUAUGUGAAACAAACCAUAUCCAGAACUUCAUAUUCAUUUAUUUAUAACAUGUUGCAGUACAUUUUUUAAAGUUACAAUAUGGAUUUCAAUUUCCAUAAGAUUCAUAUUUACUGGUCUUCCAAAGAAUCUCAUUACUCUUCAAGUAAAACUUUUAAUUCUUUGUCUGUUGCAUUUCUCCACCCACAAAAGGCAACACACCUUAAAAUAAAAAGAACUCACAGCACAGAGGACAAAAUUGAAUGCGUGAUGCUAAGAAUAUCUUGGGUGAUGUGAGUAGUAUGAGACAUGGACCUAUCGUGACACUGGGGAUAAAGUGAAUGAUCUUAUUAUGGCACUUGAUCAUCUAACCUGCAUGCCACAGCAGGAAAAGUUACAUUUCAAAAUGAGGUAGCUAAUUAUUGAUGAAGGUCAUUCCCUAAUGCAUGAAAGUUCAGAUGAGGUCUAAAAGGCUUUUCAAAAAGGAAGAGGUAGAGAGGGUUGUCUAUUAGUCUGAAGGCCAAAAAGAAAAAAAAACAGCAAAAAAGAUCCAACAAAAGCCAAAAAAACCACUAAUGUGAUAAAGAUCUGAGAUCUAAAGCUCAGGGGAGUCAAUGGGAGGGUCCCCAAUACUACAGCAACAGAACAGAAGAUCUAACCAAGACA